rnacentral:rRNA from 1 species
AGAGUUUGAUCAUGGCUCAGAUUGAACGCUGGCGGCAUGCCUUACACAUGCAAGUCGAACGGUAACGCGGGGGCAACCCUGGCGACGAGUGGCGAACGGGUGAGUAAUACAUCGGAACAUAUCCAGUAGCGGGGGAUAACCUAUCGAAAGAUGGACUAAUACCGCAUACGAUCUACGGAUGAAAGCAGGGGACCGCAAGGCCUUGCACUAUUGGAGUGGCCGAUGUCGGAUUAGCUAGUUGGUGGGGUAAAAGCUUACCAAGGCGACGAUCCGUAGCUGGUCUGAGAGGACGAUCAGCCACACUGGAACUGAGACACGGUCCAGACUCCUACGGGAGGCAGCAGUGGGGAAUUUUGGACAAUGGGGGCAACCCUGAUCCAGCCAUGCCGCGUGAGUGAAGAAGGCCUUCGGGUUGUAAAGCUCUUUCGGUGAAGACGAAACGGUUAGUGUUAAUAACACUGACUAAUGACGGUACUCACAGAAGAAGCACCGGCUAACUACGUGCCAGCAGCCGCGGUAAUACGUAGGGUGCAGGCGUUAAUCGGAAUUACUGGGCGUAAAGCGUGCGCAGGCGGUUUGUUAAGACAGGUGUGAAAUCCCCGGGCUUAACCUGGGAAUUGCGCUUGUAACUGGCAAGCUAGAGUGUGGCAGAGGGGGGUGGAAUUCCACGUGUAGCAGUGAAAUGCGUAGAUAUGUGGAGGAACACCGAUGGCGAAGGCAGCCCCCUGGGUUAACACUGACGCUCAUGCACGAAAGCGUGGGGAGCAAACAGGAUUAGAUACCCUGGUAGUCCACGCCCUAAACUAUGUCAACUAGUUGUCGGGGAAGAAAUUCCUUGGUAACGAAGCUAACGCGUGAAGUUGACCGCCUGGGGAGUACGGCCGCAAGGUUAAAACUCAAAUGAAUUGACGG